rnacentral:snRNA from 1 species
CCUUGAUUGAUCCAUACUC